AUUGAACGCUGGCGGCAUGCCUUACACAUGCAAGUCGAACGGCAGCACGGGAGCUUGCUCCUGGUGGCGAGUGGCGAACGGGUGAGUAAUACAUCGGAACGUACCCUGAAGUGGGGGAUAACGUAGCGAAAGUUACGCUAAUACCGCAUAUUCUGUGAGCAGGAAAGAGGGGGAUCGCAAGACCUCUUGCUUUAGGAGCGGCCGAUGUCGGAUUAGCUAGUUGGUGAGGUUAAAGGCUCACCAAGGCGACGAUCCGUAGCGGGUCUGAGAGGAUGAUCCGCCACACUGGGACUGAGACACGGCCCAGACUCCUACGGGAGGCAGCAGUGGGGAAUUUUGGACAAUGGGCGCAAGCCUGAUCCAGCCAUGCCGCGUGAGUGAAGAAGGCC
rnacentral:rRNA from 1 species